rnacentral:rRNA from 1 species
GACGAACGCUGGCGGCGUGCUUAACACAUGCAAGUCGAACGGAAAGGCCCUGCUUUUGUGGGGUGCUCGAGUGGCGAAAGGGUGAGUAACACGAGAGUAACCUGCACUUGACUUUGGGAUACCUUCAGGAAACUGGGGAUAAUACCGGAUAGGAGCUCCUGCUGCAUGGUGGGGGUUGGAAAGUUUCGGCGGUUGGGGAUGGACGCGCGGGUUAUCAGCUUGUUGGGCGGGUAGUGGCUUACCAAGUCUGUGACGGGUAGCCGGCCUGAGAGGGUGACCGGCCACAUUGGGACUGAGAUACGGCCCAGACUCCUACGGGAGGCAGCAGGGGGGAAUAUUGCACAAUGGGCGGAAGCCUGAGGCAGCAAUGCCGCGUGCGGGAUGACGGCCUGCGGGUUGUAAACCUCUUUCGCCUGUGACGAAGCGUGAGUGACGGUAAUGGGUAGAGAAGCACCGGCUAACUACGUG